GAUUCUGCAGGGCUCCCCGGUGCGGAUCUCUGCCGUCUCGCUCGUUUCCUUCUUUUUGUCCUUGGUCACCGUGGUGGAGUUAAAUGGCAAGCUGAGGCAUCCGAAACGCACCUCCCUAGCACACCCUCCCUGGACCGUCUAGACACCACUUCCCACCGAGAAGGAAAGGGCAGUUGGGGUGGCUGUCGCUACGAGCGCCAUCUUUCACGUGGGCGGAACUCGUCUCUGCAGGACGCGCCGCGGUUCCCUCGUGGGACUCCAUAGGAGAGGGAAAAGCCAGAGGAAGAUUCUAGAGCAGGGAUAAGAAGACUGGACAUGACCAGCAGACUGGGCAUGGACUUGGCUACAGAAGUGGGGGAGUGAGAGAAAAGAGUGGAGAUGGUGAGGUAUCAAGAGAGAGAAUACAGCAUAGAAAGAGAUGAGAAUAAGAAAAAGCAAGGGUGGGAAUCAUGGAGAGUAGCAAGUUAAAGGGAGGGUGAGUAGCUACAGGGACAGACGGGCCAGGAGGCCUGGCGUGGGGGCUUUGCAAUGUAUAACAAGCAUUUGGGGCUGAGGGAGCCUGACGUCUCAUAGGCUUUGAUAUGCAGCCACUGUCAAUGGCCUAUGUCACACGACAUGUGUCAGUGAUAUACGUCAUAUGUCCCUUCUGCCAGAGGUAAGGGGAAUGACUCCUUUUUUGCAGAUGGGAACUGGCUUCACACGGUCCUGAGGACCGAUGACUUUUAUGUAACAGCCAGAACUCGUACAGUUCAGCUUGAGCUCAUUUCUCGAUGUGACCAACCUGAGACCUAGCAGAAAGCUUUAUAGAAAGUAUACACUCCGAGGUGCCAGCUGAAGACCUACGGCAUCGCCGUCUGUGGUGGUACCACCUCUGAAUAUGCAUUUUCAAAAUGUCUUGAGCUAUGAUGGUUUGAAUGCUUGCUCAUAGGGAGUGGCACAAUUAGGAGGCGUGGGCUUAUUGGAGGAGGUGUAACCUUGUUGGAGGAAGUGUGUCACUGUGUAGGUAGUCUUUAAGGCCUUCUGUGCUCAGGUUCCACCCAGUGUGGAAGAGAGCCUCCUCCUCGCUGUCUGCAGAAGAUAGUUUCCUGCUGGUGCCUUUGGAUCAAGAUCAAGACAAUGAGUGCUCUUCCAGCACCACGUCUGCCUGGAUGCUGCCAUGUUUCCCUGCCAUGAUGAUAAUGGACUGAACCUCUGAAACUGUUAGCCAGCCCCGUUUAAAUGUUGCCCUUUUCAAGAGUUGCCUUGGUUAUAGUGCCUCUUCAUGGCGAUAAAACCCUAAACCAGGAGCCAAUCACUUGGCUGGGGAAGCACUAUCUUAGCUUGUGGUCACCCUUUUAAAUGAGGUAAAGAGCAAUUAGCACACAUAGAAUAUUAAAACAAACAGACAAACAAACAAACAAACAAACAAAAAAACCAUGUAGAGGAACAAAGAAAGUAUCCCACUUUUCCAGACAACAGAUACAAAGAAGUUAUACUAGUCAAUGCAAUUUGUGUUGGUUACCAUAAUCACAACACUCAUGUCUCAGGCACUGAAUAUAGAACUCAGACUGUUCCCAUCAAGUGGUCUCCUCACAACUGAACCAUGAAUUGAGACGCUGAACUUCACAUUUGAUGCUCUUUACCACACGGCCUCCCCGCUGGCUAUAUGGGUCAAGAAAGAGAGGGUCAUAUUUAAAGAAUUUGUAAAGAACAAGUAGUAUGCACUCCCUGUGGUCAUACUGCUUGCCUAGAAGUUGUCACAGCACCUCAGCGAGAUGAAAGAAGGCAAGGAAAUGAGAUCCUGAGUAUUUAGGAAGGAUAGAAAAUGACGCGGAAAACAGUGCCUUUGCCCCUGGUAUGAGAAGUGGAGUCUCCGUUGGUUAAGCAGCCUGAUCUUUUGCCAAGCGAGUGGGAAAGCCGAGCAUGGAGGAGAUGUGGUCAGCAAGUGCAAGCUUCUGCAAAGGCUGUUCUGCUCCACACGCCCCAGCCAAAGAAUUCAUGGGAAUGGAGGCACCGUGACUUUGCAUUAUAAAUAAAUAAAACUCUCAAAUC
ensembl:processed_transcript Gm12367 predicted gene 12367